UGUUUACAAUCUAAAAACAUCUUGGUGGUUCGUAGAACUAGUUGCUUGUGCACGUAUGCACAAGUGACAUGUAUAAUGUUGUUAAUGUUCUGUUGCUUGCAUGUUCUGCAGCCGGUUUGCUCGAGUCUAUCUCCCACCAAUAUUCUAAACAUGCCUCUUAUAUAUUAAUAAAACCUCUUAUAUAGGUCAUAUUGCUUAGAGAGUGUGGGGCCAAACCCAUUUGUCUGAGGUGCAACUGUGUUCAGGGGACCCCGAACUGCUACUGACAUGUAACAAGUUCCUCGUACCAGUAAGGGACACAAUUUUCUAUGGUGGAAUUCCCAAGGAUAGUUUGCCUACGUAGGUAUCUUGACCCUACUACAAGGGAAAUUCUAUAAUGUUAAAUCCCCUUCAGAGUGUUGGUCAAGUUAAUUUUAUAGAUAAGUAGUUCUAUCUUUCUUUUUCUCUUUUUUGUUUCCAAUAACUUUUUCUCUCUUUUAGGAUGAUCAGAAUAGUAAUGAACUUUGUUACAAUGGCGAUGCAUGUUAGCUAUCCGCUUACCUAAUUUAUAAAGGUAUAUAUGGAAUAAAAUUCUACAAUAAUUGCAAACCUUGAAAGACCAAUGAUAAAAAAUGGAAGAUGAAGGAUUGAAGGAGACCUUCAAAAGUGUAAAAUUGUUUAUGUUGAGGGGUACUUGCAUAUUAAUCAUUCCAAUUUCUAGCAACCAUCUGCUCAGUUUUAAUGCAUCUUCUAACUUAAAUUCGGGUCGUUGAUGGCAAGGAUAAAAGCUUUAUGAUUCGUGGGCAUGAGCUCUUCGUGUGUAAAGCCCUCGGAUAAGGUCUAGAGACGGACAGAUUUUUGUGUCAGUGUAAUAGGAGAAGAGCUGAACCACCAUGAAGAGCGGCUUGAAAACCCUCUGAAUGGAUCAAAUGCAUUGCAUUAACUUUGUGAAAUGUUGCAUGUUACUUGGGCGGUUUUUGUAAUGCAAUUACCAAUGUCAACCAGUAUGUUGGUUGCCUCAAAUUUCUGCUUAGCCAUAAUGUUGCUUGUAGACGAUCUGCUCAGAGAU